CUCUCAGUGAUACUGCGAGGGAAGAUUCAAAAUAAAGUGUUUUUGUUCCCAGCAGCGGAGUAUCUCCUGUCCCUCUGUGGAUGCCAAGGAGACUCCUGUUUAUGGUGAUGGUUGUGGAGCUCCAAGAGAGGGGAUGCUUUCCCUCUCACGGCUGGGAGCUACCAAGCUAGAUUCAUGGGUUCUAGAAGAAGGCAGUCCCGCAGAAUAAAGGGCUCAGAGAUCACUGCAGAAGAGGGGAUGGGAAAGACUGUUAAGAGCCAGAAGUGGAUUUGGAUGCAAAUCUCUCAGCUACUGUUCCAGUACCAUGCCUGUUUGCUUCCCAACAGAAUGACUAACCCUCUAAAACUAGUGCCAUUUUCGUUUCCUGAUUCCAAUGAUGUCUGGCUUGAACUUAGCUCAUAGAAGACCCCUGCAUCCCUUGUGCCAGAUGGAUUGGAUUAGUGAUCAGGACUAUAAAGAAACUUCAAGACAGUUGGGGGCAAAGAUUUGGAUGUUUCUGAGAUCUGUGUGCUGUAUACAGUUGGCAAAACACAUGGCAGUAAUGGCUUGUGCCCCCAUCAAGUCACUGCUCAUCUCUUAAGAUGUAUUCAGGGCCUGUGUCGUCCAAGUCCACAAUGCAUCAGCUUGCUUCAAGUGUUUGAGAGAGAACUAAUCUUCAAAUUGUCCAACCUCCUUUUACCUCAGAGACAUUUUUAUUUGUUUAUUUUAUAUCCUGCCUCAUUCCAAAAAAGGUUUUGAGGAGAGCGAAGAAACUGAAUGGCACGGGUCAGUGAGAAAGAAACUAGAAACGACAUUCCCCAAUUCGACACUAUUUUCUGAAACAAUGUCAAGCCCUUACAAGGAUGGGAAAAUAGCUAAGUCACAUACCGUGAAAGUCAAGGAUUCUCUCUUAGGGAAUAAGUGUCCUGGAGCUACUGUCCUCCCAGGACAUUUGUGAGCUUAGCAGUUUGGAAUGUCAACAAAAAGGGUGAUUAGGGGCAGAGGCCUGCAGGAGGCUUUGUGGCCCACUCAUUGAUCAACGCAUGGAGCAGAGACAGAACUGGAAAUUGUGUGGAAAGAAUGUGCAGACUAACCACUUUGCAUUAACAUGCAUGAGACAUUUCUCUUUCCCUAGCAUGAAAUCAAGUAUAAACAAGAACCCUGAGCAAACAGGCCUUCUGAAUACUGUACAGUGAGAGGAUGAGAAUCUGUUCCAUAACUGUUUGUUUUUCGGUAUCUUUCACUGAUCAAUCUUGCAAACAUACAGUCCAGCCAAGGAGAUGCGAUCUUUCACUUGGUUUUGUAAUAUAGUUCAAAGCCACAUCUGGGCUUGAAUUUUUCUGUGUUGAUUCAUAAGAAGGAAAGAAAGUCGAGACGAGAGUGAAGAAAGGAAGAAGAAAGGUGCAAGAGCGUGGAACGUAAUGGGUCCUGCUGGAGCUCUUCACUCUGGAGGGGUUUUAGGACCCGGUAACUGGGUAGAAAUUUGCAGAAGGUUUUGAGCUUACCAAGCAACAGUUGCCACUAGCAAUCUCUGUCACAAGCUGUCCAGGAUAUCUCAGCUAUUGUUGUCCUUUGUAAAGACCCACAGGAGCGGACGAUGGAGAGCACCUGCAUCCAUUCUGCAGUCCCCCACUUUUCCUGGGGAACAUAGGCCUCAGACCACUGAUUAUGUUGUAACUCAAGCACUAUGGCUGGAAAUAGACGCAAGACAAUGGCUGACCAAACUGUGGAAAAUGCGGCUGGCAAUCUGCCCAGCCUAGAGCAGCAACAAGGAUACAUAUGUCAGACGUGUGUGUGUGUGUGUGUG